UACAGAGGUCUCAAGCGUUGUUCGGAUUCAUUGGGCGUAAAGGGUGCGUAGGCGGCGCGGUAAGUCGGGUGUGAAAUCUCGGGGCUUAACUCCGAAACUGCAUUCGAUACUGCCGUGCUUGAGGACUGGAGAGGAGACUGGAAUUUACGGUGGUAGCGGUGAAAUGCGUAGAUAUCGUAAGGAAGACCAGUGGCGGAAGGCGGGUCUCUGGACAGUUCCUGACGCUGAGGCACGAAGGCCAGGGGAGCAAAACGGGG
rnacentral:rRNA from 1 species